rnacentral:rRNA from 1 species
AUGAACGCUAGCUACAGGCUUAACACAUGCAAGUCGAGGGGCAGCAUGGUCUUAGCUUGCUAAGACUGAUGGCGACCGGCGCACGGGUGAGUAACACGUAUCCAACCUGCCGUCUACUCUUGGACAGCCUUCUGAAAGGAAGAUUAAUACAAGAUGGCAUCAUGAGUCCGCAUGUUCACAUGAUUAAAGGUAUUCCGGUAGACGAUGGGGAUGCGUUCCAUUAGAUAGUAGGCGGGGUAACGGCCCACCUAGUCUUCGAUGGAUAGGGGUUCUGAGAGGAAGGUCCCCCACAUUGGAACUGAGACACGGUCCAAACUCCUACGGGAGGCAGCAGUGAGGAAUAUUGGUCAAUGGGCGAGAGCCUGAACCAGCCAAGUAGCGUGAAGGAUGACUGCCCUAUGGGUUGUAAACUUCUUUUAUAAAGGAAUAAAGUCGGGUAUGGAUACCCGUUUGCAUGUACUUUAUGAAUAAGGAUCGGCUAACUCCGUGCCAGCAGCCGCGGUAAUACGGAGGAUCCGAGCGUUAUCCGGAUUUAUUGGGUUUAAAGGGAGCGUAGAUGGAUGUUUAAGUCAGUUGUGAAAGUUUGCGGCUCAACCGUAAAAUUGCAGUUGAUACUGGAUAUCUUGAGUGCAGUUGAGGCAGGCGGAAUUCGUGGUGUAGCGGUGAAAUGCUUAGAUAUCACGAAGAACUCCGAUUGCGAAGGCAGCCUGCUAAGCUGCAACUGCCCUUGAGGCUUGAAUGUGUGGGUAUCAAACAGGAUUAGAUACCCUGGUAGUCCACACGGUAAACGAUGAAUACUCGCUGUUUGCGAUAUACUGCAAGCGGCCAAGCGAAAGCGUUAAGUAUUCCACCUGGGGAGUACGUUCGCAAGAAUGAAACUCAAAGGAAUUGACGGGGGCCCGCACAAGCGGAGGAACAUGUGGUUUAAUUCGAUGAUACGCGAGGAACCUUACCCGGGCUUAAAUUGCAGAUGAAUUACGGUGAAAGCCGUAAGCCGCAAGGCAUCUGUGAAGGUGCUGCAUGGUUGUCGUCAGCUCGUGCCGUGAGGUGUCGGCUUAAGUGCCAUAACGAGCGCAACCCUUAUCGAUAGUUACCAUCAGGUUAUGCUGGGGACUCUGUCGAGACUGCCGUCGUAAGAUGUGAGGAAGGUGGGGAUGACGUCAAAUCAGCACGGCCCUUACGUCCGGGGCUACACACGUGUUACAAUGGGGGGUACAGAAGGCCGCUACCACGCGAGUGGAUGCCAAUCCCCAAAACCUCUCUCAGUUCGGACUGGAGUCUGCAACCCGACUCCACGAAGCUGGAUUCGCUAGUAAUCGCGCAUCAGCCACGGCGCGGUGAAUACGUUCCCGGGCCUUGUACACACCGCCCGUCAAGCCAUGGGAGCCGGGGGUACCUGAAGUGCGUAACCGCGAGGAGCGCCCUAGGGUAAAACUGGUGACUGGGGCU